CGUUGUUGGGUAGGGGAGCGUUCUGUAAGCCUGCGAAGGUGGCCUGUGAGGGUUGCUGGAGGUAUCAGAAGUGCGAAUGCUGACAUAAGUAACGAUAAAGCGGGUGAAAAGCCCGCUCGCCGGAAGACCAAGGGUUCCUGUCCAACGUUAAUCGGGGCAGGGUGAGUCGACCCCUAAGGCGAGGCCGAAAGGCGUAGUCGAUGGGAAACGGGUUAAUAUUCCCGUACUUGGUGUUACUGCGAAGGGGGGACGGAGAAGGCUAUGUUGGCCGGGCGACGGUUGUCCCGGUUUAAGCGUGUAGGUGUGUGUUCCAGGUAAAUCCGGUUCACUUUAACACUGAGGCGUGACGACGAGGCACUACGGUGCUGAAGCAACAAAUGCCCUGCUUCCAGGAAAAGCCUCUAAGCAUCAGGUAACAUCAAAUCGUACCCCAAACCGACACAGGUGGUCAGGUAGAGAAUACCAAGGCGCUUGAGAGAACUCGGGUGAAGGAACUAGGCAAAAUGGUGCCGUAACUUCGGGAGAAGGCACGCUGACACGUAGGUGAAGUGAUUUACUCAUGGAGCUGAAGUCAGUCGAAGAUACCAGCUGGCUGCAACUGUUUAUUAAAAACACAGCACUGUGCAAACACGAAAGUGGACGUAUACGGUGUGACGCCUGCCCGGUGCCGGAAGGUUAAUUGAUGGGGUCAGCGCAAGCGAAGCUCCUGAUCGAAGCCCCGGUAAACGGCGGCCGUAACUAUAACGGUCCUAAGGUAGCGAAAUUCCUUGUCGGGUAAGUUCCGACCUGCACGAAUGGCGUAAUGAUGGCCAGGCUGUCUCCACCCGAGACUCAGUGAAAUUGAACUCGCUGUGAAGAUGCAGUGUACCCGCGGCAAGACGGAAAGACCCCGUGAACCUUUACUAUAGCUUGACACUGAACAUUGAGCCUUGAUGUGUAGGAUAGGUGGGAGGCUUUGAAGUGUGGACGCCAGUCUGCAUGGAGCCGACCUUGAAAUACCACCCUUUAAUGUUUGAUGUUCUAACGUGGACCCGUGAUCCGGGUUGCGGACAGUGUCUGGUGGGUAGUUUGACUGGGGCGGUCUCCUCCUAAAGAGUAACGGAGGAGCACGAAGGUUGGCUAAUCCUGGUCGGACAUCAGGAGGUUAGUGCAAUGGCAUAAGCCAGCUUGACUGCGAGCGUGACGGCGCGAGCAGGUGCGAAAGCAGGUCAUAGUGAUCCGGUGGUUCUGAAUGGAAGGGCCAUCGCUCAACGGAUAAAAGGUACUCCGGGGAUAACAGGCUGAUACCGCCCAAGAGUUCAUAUCGACGGCGGUGUUUGGCACCUCGAUGUCGGCUCAUCACAUCCUGGGGCUGAAGUAGGUCCCAAGGGUAUGGCUGUUCGCCAUUUAAAGUGGUACGCGAGCUGGGUUUAGAACGUCGUGAGACAGUUCGGUCCCUAUCUGCCGUGGGCGCUGGAGAACUGAGGGGGGCUGCUCCUAGUACGAGAGGACCGGAGUGGACGCAUCACUGGUGUUCGGGUUGUCAUGCCAAUGGCACUGCCCGGUAGCUAAAUGCGGAAGAGAUAAGUGCUGAAAGCAUCUAAGCACGAAACUUGCCCCGAG
rnacentral:rRNA from 1 species